ensembl:snRNA U6 U6 spliceosomal RNA
GUGCUCGCUUCGGCACAUACUAAAAUUGGAAAGAUACAGAGAAGAUUAGCAUGGUCCCUGCACAAGGAUGACAUGCAAAUUCGUGAAGCGUUCCAUAUUAAA